rnacentral:rRNA from 1 species
UAGGGAAUCUUCCGCAAUGGACGAAAGUCUGACGGAGCAACGCCGCGUGAGUGAAGAAGGUUUUCGGAUCGUAAAGCUCUGUUGCCAGGGAAGAAGAGCAAGGAGAGGAACUGCUCCUUGAGUGACGGUACCUGAGAAGAAAGCCCCGGCUAACUACGUGCCAGCAGCCGCGGUAAUACGUAGGGGGCAAGCGUUGUCCGGAAUUAUUGGGCGUAAAGGGCGCGCAGGCGGGGAUGUAAGUUGGUUGUAUAAACCUAAGGCUCAACCUUGGGAGGCAACCAAAACUGCAUGCCUAGAGUACAGAAGAGGGAAGUGGAAUUCCACAUGUAGCGGUGAAAUGCGUAGAGAUGUGGAGGAACACCAGUGGCGAAGGCGACUUUCUGGGCUGUAACUGACGCUG